ACAAUCUUCAUGCUUUUACACAACAGGUUAUUGUAAAAGAGAUUUGUGUGUGCAUGCUUUGUACAUAGAUUUAUCGUUUAUUUGGUUAGAAACCUAAUUUUUUUAGAUUUAUCAUUUGUUGUUGUGUUUACAAAUCCUAUAGCUACACCUGCAGUGAGAACCAAGAUGCGAACUUUGUAUGGCGGGUUAUUUAUCUUCUAAUGUUUGCCAGAAAAAAACAGUUCUGGUCCAAUUGCAACUUGUGUACCAAGCUUGAGGAAAUUUAGAAACCAAAGAAAUAGAAAAUCCAAGAGAACGGAGGAUAUGAAUUUUAUUUUUGUAGUUCUCCGUGUAAUCCUAACACAAGAUGUGAGAAUUUCUCACAUCAUUAGUCAUUUCUGCCUUGUUUAUUUGUUCAUGGUAAUAGCACUUUCAAUGAUUUAAGUUUGGUUAAUCUGAGAUACUCUUUUUCUUGAUUAUAUAAUGUCGUGAAACAGACUGGAGCAACAACUGCUGGUAUAACCUGAACGCGGUGGAGGUUAUUGGAGAGAUGCAUGUCCGGGAUCCUCUGCUUCCGCCGUACACCACGGUCGGCGUAGGAAUUUGCUAACCCCAGGUUGCCUUUCAGUGCAAGGUUGCCUUGCAUUCUGACCCUAUGCUUUACUUAAUCCAAGGCGAGCCGUUGUUCAUUUCCCAAGCCCUUUGCAAGGUUUGAAGCGUCUGGCAAAUUCUGAUCCUAUGGUCAUGUGCUCCAUGGAGGAGUGCUGAGCAUAUUAUUGAUGGCGCUGGAGAGCUGCACCUUGAAAUUCGUUUAAAGGAUCUGCAAGAGGACUUCAUGGGUGGUGCUGAAAUUACUGUUUUUUUCCUCUUGGAAUUAUGAAUGGACGGUGCUAUCCCACUUGGAAUUUUCUACAUCCAAGAAAACUGGAGCUUGAUGAUUGUGUACCUCAGAAAAGCAUCAUAGUGAAGUUACUCAUUUUAGGUUGGCACACCGCAGGUUAAUUGCUUCGUCAAAUGACUCUGGUGUAGAUGUAAGGUUCUUUUCUCAGGUACUGGAUAACAGGUGUUUUACUUUUGUACUCACCGCACGCUUGCCGUUGGAGAAGGCACAUGAGGGUGUUGUGGCGGAGGCGUUUGGUGUUGCUCUCAUGGGUAUUGUGGUGGCAAUGUCAAGGCAUCUCACCACAUCCAGACAACAACCUUGAUCCACAUGUUGUAUUGGGAGUUGGAAGGAAUUGCAUAUAAGACUACCACAGGUGCGACCUAACCGACUUGGAUUUCGUUGUUAUCAUGAUCCAUUAGAUGUCGCCACCGCUGGCUGGACCUUCUGGUGUUUGAUAAUCUAACCUUUGCAGAUUUGUUGUCUUCAAAUACGGCUAAAUUCGAAGGCACCAUGAUCUCAAAGCAAGCACUGAGUCUCGAAUUGAAGGUGUUUGAUGAAAAGGCAAGCAGGUUGCAUUGAAAUAUUAAUCCAUAGUUGCUAAAGAGAUGGACGAGAUCACAGAGCCAAGGAGAGGUGGUGCCCACUCACCGCGCGCUUGCUACUGAAGAUCGAGAGGCAAUUUCAAAUAGAUUUCUUCCCCUUCCCCUCAUGCACUGUGCGGCAAAUUAGUGCGGCUGAACGGACUGCACUACAUGGGUUUCAGCUAGGUGGUGCGAGAGGCAAUUUUUCAACUGACUCUAGGUGCUCAAGUGCUCGGUCUUAACAACCGUACUAUUAUAUCUCUUUUUUCGGACUCUCCGGUAACGAGUGAAGGAGAGGUGGUGCAGGGGGGCGUGUGAAGCAACACUGGUGCUGGCUACAGCUCAAGAAAAUGAAGAAGAGAUAUGUCUAUGUUAGUGAAUGCAUGUGUGAUCAAAAUAAUUUACAUGAGGUAAUCAGUUCCCUGGUUAUUGCCGGGUACCCGCCACAUAACAUGAAGUGCUCUCUCGGGAUGACGAGAAGCUAUGGCUGUGAUAACCGGUGCUCAGAAGACUAUCUAUACAUGUAGGUAGUCAUGCUGACGUGCCUUGGUUUGCCUACCAUACCUACCAGUUGUUAAGCUUUGUCUUCAUAAUAGUAUAUGUACUUUACUGUUUGUUCUUACCAUAGUGCGUAUGCUCUAUACUUCCAUGUUUUCGCAAUAUAUAUUUGACAUUCUGGUGGUUUGUAAA